GUGCUUGCUUCAGCAGCACAUACACUAAAAUUGGAAUGACAGAGAGAAGAUAAGCAAGGCCCUUGAACAGGAUGACAGGCAAAUUCAUGAAGCGUCCCAUAUUUUU